rnacentral:rRNA from 1 species
UACGAAGGGGCUAGCGUUGUUCGGAUUUACUGGGCGUAAAGCGCACGUAGGCGGAUCGUUAAGUCGGGGUGAAAUCCUGGAGCUCAACUCCAGAACUGCCUUCGAUACUGGCGAUCUUGAGUCCGGAAGAGGUGAGUGGAACUCCUAGUGUAGAGGUGGAAUUCGUAGAUAUUAGGAAGAACACCAGUGGCGAAGGCGGCUCACUGGUCCGGUACUGACGCUGAGGUGCGAAAGGCGUGGGGAGCAAACAGG